rnacentral:rRNA from 1 species
ACGGGGUGCAGCAGGCGCGAAAACUUUACAAUGCACACAAGUGCGAUAAGGGAACCCCGAGUGUCUCUACCUAGUAGGGACUGUCCAGCUGUCUAAAGAAUAGCUGUUAGCAAGAGCCGGGCAAGACCGGUGCCAGCCGCCGUGGUAAUACCGGCGGCUCGAGUGGUGAUCGCUAUUAUUGGGUCUAAAGCGUCCGUAGCUGGCCGUGAAAGUUCGUCGGGAAAUCCAUCCGCUCAACGGAUGGGCGUCCGGCGAAAACUUCAUGGCUUGGGACCGGAAGGCUCGAGGGGUACGUCCGGGGUAGGAGUGAAAUCCUGUAAUCCUGGACGGACCACCGAUGGCGAAAGCACCUCGAGAAGACGGAUCCGACAGUGAGGGACGAAAGCUAGGGUCUCGAACCGGAUUAGAUACCCGGGUAGUCCUAGCCGUAAACAAUGUUCACUAGGUGUGGCACAGGCUACGAGCCUGUGCUGUGCCGUAGGGAAGCCGAGAAGUGAACCGCCUGGGAAGUACGUCCGCAAGGAUGAAACUUAAAGGAAUUGGCGGGGGAGCAC